AGUCUUGUUCAGGUUGAGGAAACACUUGUAGUAAAAAGCGGCAGACACAAACAGGAAGAGGACAAUUUGAAAGAGCGUAAAGAAGUUCAUUGUCAGAAGUUCAAAGAAGAGGAAUUGUAGGGUCGAAGAUGUGUGGUCACGCUGGACACAUAGAGAGGGAGGUGUAUUCGAAUGUCAAGCUGCCUCGCACUGCAUAAACAUGGAUAACCUCGGACCCUGUGAAUCAUUCAGGGGCUGAGAAAAGGUCGCAGAUGGUGAGGGAGGGGCCAAGGUUAAAGGGGCAGACCAAUAGGAAACCAACCUCUCAGGCUGCACUGCCCUGGCGGAAAACCCCUGGACCAGAAAGUGCAGCGCCCCCACUCGCGUUCUGGGAAGUGUUUUGGAAAAGCACUGUAGUGGAGCCAAUUAAUUCCCGGAGAGGAGUUGGGCGCAACUGGAGUCAUGAAACUUGAGAGUACUUUCAUCCGGGCAGAACCACAAUUCAUGCACGUGCAUCCCUG